rnacentral:rRNA from 1 species
ACGAACGCUGGCGGCAGGCUUAACACCUGCAAGUCGAGCGCCCCGCACGGGGAGCGGCCGACGGGUGAGUAACGCGUGGGAACGUACCUUUUGGUUCGGAACAACUCCGGGAAACUGGAGCUAAUACCGGAUAAGCCCUAACGGGGAAAGAUUUAUCGCCGAAAGAUCGGCCCGCGUCUGAUUAGCUAGUUGGUGAGGUAACGGCUCACCAAGGCGACGAUCAGUAGCUGGUCUGAGAGGAUGAUCAGCCACACUGGGACUGAGACACGGCCCAGACUCCUACGGGAGGCAGCAGUGGGGAAUAUGGGACAAUGGGCGCAAGCCUGAUCCAGCCAGGCCGCGUGAGUGAUGAAGGCCUUAGGGUUGUAAAGCUCUUUUGUCCGGGAAGAUAAGGACUGUACCGGAAGAAUAAACCCCGGCUAACUUCGU